rnacentral:rRNA from 1 species
CUGACCUAUCAACUCGAGACGGCGGGGUAGAGGCCCGCCGCGGUAACGACGGGUAACGGGGAAUCAGGGUUCGAUUCCGGAGAGGGAGCCCGAGAAACGGCUACCACUUCCAAGGAAGGCAGCAGGCGCGCAACUUACCCUAAUCUCGAUUCGAGGAGGUAGUGACAAGAAAUACCGAUGCGGGGACCCUACGGGUGCCGCGUUCGGAAUGAGUACGAUUCGAACCACCUAACGAGGAACGAUCGGAGGGCAAGUCUGGUGCCAGCAGCCGCGGUAAUUCCAGCUCCAAUAGCGUACGUUAAAGUUGCUGCAGUUAAAAAGCUCGUAGUUGAACGUUCGGGUUCCGCGGGACGGGGCCGCCCCGCGAGGGACGGCGCCGCCCCGGGGCUCGUGAUAUCUCAUCUCGCCGCCCGUCGCGAGGCGGACGGAGGGAUGGAUGAGGUUACCUGGAAAAAAUCGGGGC